ACCCAGGUGUGAACUCAGGCUGGCAAGUGGGUGGGCCAUUGCCCGGCUGGCUUGGCUUUUGGAGCUGGUGGGAGGGGAGAGGGGCAGGGGUAGGGAUUACCUGUUCCCUCCAACUGUAGAUGGGCUCCCUGAGAGUUUAUAGUCUUGCUGACUGCCUCCAGAGGGCAGUUCUCUGCAAGAGUUCUACUGAGGGGCUCAGGCACACCAGGUAGACAAGAGGGAGCACAGACUGGGAGGUAGUUCUGGUUUGUGAGCAAGGGAGUAAAUGAUACAGGGUCCCUCGUGCAGAGAGCCAUUGGGAAUAGUGGGGAGUGGAGGUGGGAAAUGGGAAGCCUUCCCUUUGGUGUUGAGGUUAGUCCCUGGGGGCCUCAGAGCCCCAAGGAUGGGGCAAAUACUAGAUGACCUCUCAAGUUUAAGGAGAGGUGUUAGGCUGGCUGGCAGGGAGGAAGGAGAAUGGGGUAGAGUGGAGGGGCCUUUCCAGGAUUUCGUGUCUGCUCUGUCCAGCCACCAGCUGGAUGAGGAACUGGAUCCAGACCCUGGUCCUACCACAUGUGGCUUUUUUUCUCCAUCAGUGGACAGGGGUGUUCCCAUGAGACUCUUGGCCCAUACCUCUGAACUUGGAGAAGGGGAUUGGGAUACUAGCAUCAGGGCAGCAGGGCUCUACUGGAGCUGGAGGCUGGGAGUCAAGGCAGUCGGAACCCUAGAGCUGUGGAGUAUCCAGCUGCAGACUGGGUCACUGUUGGGUCAAGAACACUUUCCCUGGGAGGCAGGCCACUUGUGUCCUGGCUGGGAGGAACAGGCUAUUAUGCACACCUGGAAUCCCUGCAGGCUGUUCACAGUGCCCUCAGCUGCUAGCCCCUGGCUCCAAGGCUGGUUCCUUCCAUUACAAAAGCAGGCAUGCAGGAUGUGGGGGUCCCUCUCCCAAGCAGGGGUGGGAGACAUUUGCAGGAAGAUUCUCUCAUCCCCAGUGGAGGAACCAGGCCCCUGCUGGGCUUCUUCCAGCUCUCCUCAAGGCUUUCCUGACCCACCUGCAGCAAGCAGUAAAUCUACGAAGGUCCUGGGUCUCUGAGGCAGGCACCUUUCCACUGCAAGGGCUAUGGGUUGUCCCUAGAUGCAGGGCAG
rnacentral:lncRNA from 1 species